rnacentral:misc_RNA from 1 species
GUCGUUAUUGUUUUCCCACUGUAGCUCUCCUCACUCCCUACCUACACGCCGAUCCGGAGCGGAAGGCGGGGGCCCGUCCGUAGCACGCCUCAGCAGCGGCGCACGCUUACUGGGAAUAAUAGGUGGAGAAAGCGCACGAGGUCACACUGUUGGACGUCAACCUGUCCUCAACCCUUUUUCGUGUCGUGAUCACGCCUUCGAGAGCAGCACUUCACUCUCCUUUCAGCUCCACAUGCAGCUGCAAAGCCUCAAGGCAUUAAGCGAGGCAAGCAAGGACGAGCCGCACCAUAGAUGGUGUUGUCACGCAAAUGAUGCGUGGUAUAAUGCCGUCCACGCCGAUGGCGAAGCCGACGUCUCUGACGCACAGAUGCCUGACGUGGAGGCCGCGCUGGAGGGAAUGCUCAGCGACGCGUCACCACUGUGUGCGGACAUGCUGCAGUGCGUCCUGCGCCACGCCAACGUGACGCUCAAUCCUAACGACGCAGAGUUCCCCGGCCCGAUGUGCACGCCUCUCUGCAAGAAAGACACCGCUCGCCUGCGUCAGCAUGGGUACACGGUCACGGAGAAGAGCGACGGUAUUCGCGUAGUGGUGGUUUCCAUGUGGGCGCCUCGUUUUCCCGCAUGGGUGGCGGACAGUGCAGCCGACGCCGUCUCGGCAUCGGUGAAUCUCUCUCAUCUCGCAAGCGUCUUGGCUUUGGAGCGCGCACGCCGUGCGCUGCGCCGGUAUGCCGGUCAGGGCGAAGACGCCGCCUUUCGCGAGACCCUCUCCCUUGGAGGGCGGAGCUGCACACUCGAGCUGUUCUCCGCUCUCGAGCCGUGCGAGUCGGAGUGUUUUACGCUGAGAGUGGCGACUGCCGCGGAUGACGCCUCGCCGUCCGCAUUGGUGACGUUGCGCCGCCACCGGCGUGGACGUCAUUUCGCCUACGCAGUGGACCGCUCGCUUGACGCCGCUUACCUCUUCAUGGAUGAUCACACGACUCUCCAGUACCACACCUUUGUGCUGGAUGCGGAGCUCAUGUCGGUGCACCGGUCUGCGACUUCCUCGCCUGCCGUGCCUCGCUUGGUACUUGGGGCAUUCGACCUCUUCGCUUACGCGGGAGCAGCCGACAAUGUCUUGGUGAACAUGGCAAAGCGCUCCAUGGUGGAGCGAUACGACGCGCUCAAGGCGGUGGUGCACACAUGCGCGUUGCCCGUCACCACCGAUGAAUGCGGCUACGUAUCCUGGUACGUCAAGGACAUGUGGGCACUGGCUGACAUUGGUGCCUGUCUGGCAAAGCUUCGCUACAGCGCCGAGUCACAGUGCUUCCUCUACGACGGUCCUCACGGCCCGACGGAAAACGAUGGCCUCAUCUUCACCCCAGACGAGUUCCCUGUGGUUGUGGGCUCCAGCAGCGUGCAGCUAAAGUGGAAAUGGCAGCACCUUCUGUCCAUCGACUGGCUUCUCCAGGCGUCUGACAAACAGCCGGACAUGUACACCGUGUCUCUGUUUUUCGUCAAGAAGAACUACGGUCAUCGCGAAGACGUGGCGGGACACUGGCGGUUGCGCAAGCCGAUGCACAUCCUGAACCCGCACGGCUUCGAAAUGCCGGUGGACGCGGCCGUCGUAGCCGAGUGCGCCUACGAUGAGGCAACGCAGCGGUGGUACAUCCAGCGCCUAAGACCUGACAAACUCGGCGCCAAUUCCAUCAUCACCGCCAUCUCGGUGUACGAGAGUCUCGUGGAGAACAUCUCCCUUCCCCACCUGCUCGAGCUACUGCAGGUGGACGCGGAGAAAGCGAAGGGGCAAGCCGACGCCCUCGAGUCUGCGGCCCGCGCACGCGUCGGUACCCUGUCCAAGGCACUCGAGACGGUCUCGAGCGCCUUGGACGCAGCCGAGGCCGAGAAGUGCGUUACGGCCAAGUUAGCGCUGCGCGCCAUUCGCGAGAGUCGCGGAAACGCAGAGCUUUACCUCAUCGCCUACACAAACAACACAAACAAGACAGUCAUGUAUCCGCUGCCCUUUCCUCUUCGCAAGAUACGCGACUGCAUCGGGCUCGGCUAUCACCCCGGCAUCCGCGACGACACACCCGUGCCGAGUCUCGAGGAGGUGCUUUACAUUCAGCUCGCGAACGCUGGCGGGUGCUAUGCGUGGUCGGACUACGUUGUCGACGCCUUCUACGACGGCGACAGUGGCUACUGGGAGAUCAUACACGCCGACCCCCGCGGGAACAACAAGGAAGCCAUCUUCGACAACGUCAUCGAGCACCUUGACUGGCUCCUGCGGCACCGCACGGCGCCGGAGGCGGCGACUCUAUUGGAGCGGAAGAGGGACGCGCCGCUGGUGUUAAGCCGCCCGCCCAGCUCCGAAGCAACUCAGCAGACGAGCAGGCACUACGGCACUGUCGCGAAGGAGCUGGCGAAUGAAGAGCGCAGUGACCUUCGCCGCUUCAACAACUGGGUGAAAUCUGUGCUGCUCACUACAAUGGCAGCGGCCAUCCGGCGCACGCUCAAGCCACUGGCAAAGCUACAUGUGUUGGAUCUCUGCUGCGGUCGUGGUGGCGACCUGCUCAAGUGGCAGCACAUCCGCCCUGCCUUUCUCUUCAUGACGGACGCCUCGGUCGAGUGCGUUGCGGAGGCGGCCGCCCGCUACAGCACAUCCGAGGGACAGAGCGUGAAGGUGGCCAACGGAAAGCAGAAGGGGUUCCCGGCGUUCUUUGCUGUGCACGACGCUUUCGACGCGGCCUCCGGACUGCGCGAGGACCUAUUGAAGCGGGGGCCAUUCCAGCUCACCUCGUGCCAGUUCUCGAUGCACUACGGGUGUCGGUCGAAGGAGAGCAUGCGGUACUUUGUCAAGGCCAUCGCGGACUCGUUGGUGCCGCACGGCCGCUUUGUCGGCACCACCGUGAGCGAUGUAGAGCUCCUUUACCGCGCCAAGGAACACGGCGCCGAAUUUGGCAACGACGUGUACGGUGUGCGCUUCGGCGCUGAAGCGUUUGCGCAGCUGCAGUCCGCAAACUUCGAGCCUGCCGCGCUGUCUUUUGGAGUACCGUACACGGCGACGGUAGAGCGCAGUGUGAAGGACAUGACGGAGUACGUGGUGCCGUGGGACGCCUUCGUAGCACUCUGCGCGGAGCACCAGCUCAAGCUCGUGCUUGAGGACAACUUCAUCCACUAUUAUGGCCAGCACAAGGACACAGAGGCUGGCAAAGCGAUGACGCUGGAGCAGCGCCGCAAACGCCACAACGACGGCGGCGUCGUAGACUGCCCGCUCUCGCCCAGCGAGCAAGCCGCGGUGGGACUCUAUCGGCUAUUUGUCUUUGAAAAGACAAAGGCGAAACAGUGCAGCUUCGGAACGGCGGAGAGAAAACAAGGCAGAUGCUCUGACUGAAGCGGAAGAGGGGUUUUCUCGCUCUGCAGUGGCGCUGUCGUUGGGCCGGUGCGGUCUCUCGAGCACCUCUUCUCCGCUCCUCAUCACGUGAUCCGUCGAGGGGGGGGGCGGCGGCGAGGAGGCUGCUAAAGAAGAGAAGAUGCACGUUUUGUCACAGAUGCAACACGAACAUUAAAAGUCAGUAAUCGCUCGAAACUGCAGCGACUGGUAAACGCAGGGUGACGGCUGAGCGUGCGACUGGGUCUCUCUGUGUGUUACUCUCACCUUUUCU